GACGUAGGGCGCGAGCGUUUGUCCGGAUUUAUUGGGCGUAAAGAGCUCGUAGGCGGUCUGUCGCGUCGGCUGUGAAAACUCGAGGCUCAACCUCGAGACGUCGGUUGAAACCGUAUGGCUAGAGUCCGGAAGAGGAGAGUGGAAUUCCCGGUGUAGCGGUGAAAUGCGCAGAUAUCGGGAAGAACACCCGUGGCGAAGGCGGUUCUCUGGGACGGUACUGACGCUGAGACGCGAAAGCGUGGGGAGCGAACAGG
rnacentral:rRNA from 1 species